AAAUAUCCUGCUGGGAGUCAGUGAAAGGACACACUUCCUGUCCUGUCUCUGAGCUGUCUGAACUGAAACUAAUGUCACUCCUAUACAGUCCUCCGGCAGUGGAGAGUGUGCGUCGUUGAAGCAGCAGUUUGGUUACACUUUUUCUGGAAAACGUCAACGUGGUUUCCAGAUGAGGUCACGACUUGGCUUUAGUGCCUGCAAAAGCACAACAAGAGAGAACAACUGCAGACCCACCGUGCGGAAAUCAGACUCAAACUUGUACGCCCCCCCUCCCGUGGCGCAGAGGGUGGUGUGGAGGCUGGAGAAGUGCUUGUUGCGACCCAUCUGCAGGAAGGCCGGCAGGUCGUGCGUGGGGAAGCGGAUGAAGUGCAGGUUGCCCGUCCUGCCGCACAGCGUCAGGUCCUGCAGCUCCAGGUGCA